rnacentral:rRNA from 1 species
AGUGGGGAAUAUUGGACAAUGGGCGCAAGCCUGAUCCAGCCAUGCCGCGUGGGUGAAGAAGGCCCUAGGGUUGUAAACCCCUUUCAGCGGGGAAGAUAAUGACGGUACCCGCAGAAGAAGCCCCGGCUAACUCCGUGCCAGCAGCCGCGGUAAUACGGAGGGGGCUAGCGUUGUUCGGAAUUACUGGGCGUAAAGCGCGCGUAGGCGGACCUGCAAGUCGGGGGUGAAAGCCCGAGGCUCAACCUCGGAACUGCCUUCGAUACUGCGGGUCUCGAGUCCGGGAGAGGUGAGUGGAAUUCCUAGUGUAGAGGUGAAAUUCGUAGAUAUUAGGAAGAACACCAGUGGCGAAGGCGGCUCACUGGCCCGGUACUGACGCUGAGGCGCGAAAGCGUGGGGAGCAAA